UACAGAGGUCUCAAGCGUUGUUCGGAUUCAUUGGGCGUAAAGGGUGUGUAGGUGGCGCCGUAAGUCGGGUGUGAAAUCUCGGAGCUUAACUCCGAAACUGCAUUCGAUACUGCCGUGCUUGAGGACUGGAGAGGAGACUGGAAUUUACGGUGUAGCGGUGAAAUGCGUAGAUAUCGUAAGGAAGACCAGUGGCGAAGGCGGGUCUCUGGGACGGUACUGACGCUGAGACGCGAAAGCGUGGGGAGCGAACAGG
rnacentral:rRNA from 1 species